rnacentral:rRNA from 1 species
UACGUAGGGGGCUAGCGUUGUCCGGAAUCAUUGGGCGUAAAGCGCGUGUAGGCGGUCCGGUAAGUCCGCUGUGAAAGUCGGGGGCUCAACCCUCGAAUGCCGGUGGAUACUGUCGGGCUAGAGUCCGGAAGAGGCGAGUGGAAUUCCCGGUGUAGCGGUGAAAUGCGCAGAUAUCGGGAGGAACACCAAUGGCGAAGGCAGCUCGCUGGGACGGUACUGACGCUGAGACGCGAAAGCGUGGGGAGCAAACAGG